CGUAGGUGGCAAGCGUUGUCCGGAUUUAUUGGGUUUAAAGGGUGCGUAGGCGGUCCUAUAAGUCAGUUGUGAAAUACGGCAGCUUAACUGUCGAGGUGCAAUUGAUACUGCAGGACUUGAGUACAGACGAGGUAGGCGGAAUUGACGGUGUAGCGGUGAAAUGCUUAGAUAUCGUCAAGAACACCGAUAGCGAAGGCAGCUUACUAGACCGUAACUGACGCUGAUGCACGAAAGUGUGGGGAUCAAACAGGAUUAGAUACCCUGGUAGUCCACACUGUAAACGAUGAUUACUCGAUGUUGGCGAUACACAGCCAGCGUCUUAGCAAAAGCGAUAAGUAAUCCACCUGGGGAGUACGCCGGCAACGGUG
rnacentral:rRNA from 1 species